CCGGUCUUCCCUGUUUAGCAUGUCAGUGUAAAGGUGGCCAUUGUCAGUGGCUCAGAGCUGGCGAAAUCCUCUUUUAAAGCAACUCAAACGACACCGUUCUUAACACUCACGAUGCUUUCCGCCUGUUUUUGAUAUAGCUCUCUACUGUGGACACGGUUAAAACGCCAUCUUCUUCUAAAAUUUUGCCUCCCAAAUCUGAAAAGGG
rnacentral:misc_RNA from 1 species